CCUACGGGGUGCUGCAGUGGGGAAUAUUGGACAAUGGGCGAAAGCCUGAUCCAGCCAUGCCGCGUGUGUGAAGAAGGCCUUCGGGUUGUAAAGCACUUUCAGUGGGGAAGAAAGCCUUGGGGCUAAUACCCUCGAGGAAGGACAUCACCCACAGAAGAAGCACCGGCUAACUCCGUGCCAGCAGCCGCGGUAAUACGGAGGGUGCGAGCGUUAAUCGGAAUUACUGGGCGUAAAGCGCGCGUAGGCGGUCUGAUAAGCCGGUUGUGAAAGCCCCGGGCUCAACCUGGGAACGGCAUCCGGAACUGUCAGGCUAGAGUGCAGGAGAGGAAGGUAGAAAUCCCGGUGUAGCGGUGAAAUGCGUAGAGAUCGGGAGGAAUACCAGUGGCGAAGGCGGCCUUCUGGACUGACACUGACGCUGAGGUGCGAAAGCGUGGGUAGCAAACAGGAUUAGAUACCCGAGUAGUC
rnacentral:rRNA from 1 species